rnacentral:tRNA from 1 species
CAGAAAAUAAUUUAAUUAAAAUAUUAGCCUUGGGUGCUAAAAUUCCUAUCUAUUAGGUUUUCUGA